GGGGACUGCGCCAAGCCCCAGGGCCUGCUGCUCCCCGCCCUCCGGAAGAGAGAGGGGUCCAGAAACUCAUGGGAGACGCGAAAGACACUUUGAAGGCUGCGAGAGGGGCUUGACCCAGCGUUGGCACAGGAUACGGGACGGGAAGCCGCGUGGGGAGAGGUGAUAAGGGCCCACAGAUGGUAACAUCCUGUGUAUCCUGUCUUUCACUUAAACACGGAGUUUUGUGAAUUUCUGGAAGUGCUUGUGAAAGAUCAAACCCACAGGAGCUGCGGUCCUGUGCUCAAGGCUGGCCUGCAGGAAAACGACAGGUAAACCAUCCUGAAGCCAUGGGCUCUAGUGGGCAUAGCUUUCCUGGAAACUCACCUCUCAAGCAU